rnacentral:pre_miRNA from 1 species
AGAGCUUAGUUAGCUGCUGAACAGGGAGUCUUAGCGAUUUGUUCACAGUGGCUAAGUUCUUC